GACGAACGCUGGCGGCGUGCCUAAUACAUGCAAGUUGAGCGCUGAAGGUUGGUACUUGUACCAACUGGAUGAGCAGCGAACGGGUGAGUAACGCGUGGGGAAUCUGCCUUUGAGCGGGGGACAACAUUUGGAAACGAAUGCUAAUACCGCAUAAAAACUUUAAACACAAGUUUUAAGUUUGAAAGAUGCAAUUGCAUCACUCAAAGAUGAUCCCGCGUUGUAUUAGCUAGUUGGUGAGGUAAAGGCUCACCAAGGCGAUGAUACAUAGCCGACCUGAGAGGGUGAUCGGCCACAUUGGGACUGAGACACGGCCCAAACUCCUACGGGAGGCAGCAGUAGGGAAUCUUCCGCAAUGGACGAAAGUCUGACCGAGCAACGCCGCGUGAGUGAAGAAGGUUUUCGGAUCGUAAAACUCUGUUGGUAGAGAAGAACGUUGGUGAGAGUGGAAAGCUCAUCAAGUGACGGUAACUACCCAGAAAGGGACGGCUAACUACGUG
rnacentral:rRNA from 1 species